rnacentral:rRNA from 1 species
GACGAACGCUGGCGGCGUGCUUAACACAUGCAAGUCGAACGGUGAAGCUCCAGCUUGCUGGAGUGGAUCAGUGGCGAACGGGUGAGUAACAUGUGAGCAACCUGCCCCUGACUCUGGAAUAAGCGCUGGAAACGGCGUCUAAUACUGGAUACGAGAAGGGUCCGCAUGGGCACUUUCUGGAAAGUUUUUCGGUUGGGGAUGGGCUCGCGGCCUAUCAGCUUGUUGGUGAGGUAAUGGCUCAGCAAGGCGACGACGGGUAGCCGGCCUGAGAGGGCGACCGGCGACACUGGGACUGAGACACGGCCCAGACUCCUACGGGAGGCAGCAGGGGGGAAUAUUGCACAAUGGGCGAAAGCCUGAUGCAGCGACGCCGCGUGAGGGAUGACGGCCUUCGGGUUGUAAACCUCUUUCAGCAGGGAAGAAGCGAAAGUGACGGUACCUGCAGAAGAAGCACCGGCUAACUACGUG